rnacentral:rRNA from 1 species
ACUCCUACGGGAGGCAGCAGUGGGGAAUAUUGCACAAUGGGGGAAACCCUGAUGCAGCCAUGCCGCGUGUGUGAAGAAGGCCUUCGGUUGUAAAGCACUUUCAGUAGGGAGGAAGGUAGUGUAGUUAACACCUGCACUAUUUGACGUUACCUACAGAAGAAGCACCGGCUAACUCCGUGCCAGCAGCCGCGGUAAUACGGAGGGUGCGAGCGUUAAUCGGAAUUACUGGGCGUAAAGCGCAUGCAGGCGGCCUGUUAAGUCAGAUGUGAAAGCCCGGGGGCUUAACCUCGGAAUUGCAUUUGAAACUGGCAGGCUAGAGUCUUGUAGAGGGGGUAGAAUUUCAGGUGUAGCGGUGAAAUGCGUAGAGAUCUGAAGGAAUACCAGUGGCGAAGGCGGCCCCCUGGACAAAGACUGACGCUCAGAUGCGAAAGCGUGGGAGCAAACAGGAUUAGAUACCCUGGUAGCGACAGAG